rnacentral:rRNA from 1 species
GACGAACGCUGGCGGCGUGCCUAACACAUGCAAGUCGAACGGGGUUAAGAGAGCUUGCUUUCUUAACUUAGUGGCGAACGGGUGAGUAACGCGUGAGGAACCUGCCUUUCAGUGGGGGACAACAGUUGGAAACGACUGCUAAUACCGCAUAACAUUCACGGACCGCAUGAUCUGUGAAUCAAAGCUUUAUGUGCUGAAAGAUGGCCUCGCGUCUGAUUAGAUAGUUGGUGGGGUAACGGCCCACCAAGUCGACGAUCAGUAGCCGGUCUGAGAGGAUGAACGGCCACAUUGGGACUGAGACACGGCCCAAACUCCUACGGGAGGCAGCAGUGGGGAAUAUUGGGCAAUGGGGGAAACCCUGACCCAGCAACGCCGCGUGGAGGAAGAAGGUUUUCGGAUCGUAAACUCCUGUCCUCAGGGAAGAGCAGAAGACGGUACCUGAGGAGGAAGCCCCGGCUAACUACGUG